GACGAACGCUGGCGGCGUGCUUAACACAUGCAAGUCGAACGGUGAAGCGCCUUCCUUUUUGGUGGGUGUGGAUGAGUGGCGAACGGGUGAGUAACACGUGAGUAACCUGCCCCCUUCUUCUGGAUAACCGCAUGAAAGUGUGGCUAAUACGGGAUAUUCUGGGUCUGUCGCAUGAUGGGUCUGGGAAAGAUAUUGUUUCGGUGGGGGAUGGGCUCGCGGCCUAUCAGCUUGUUGGUGGGGUGAUGGCCUACCAAGGCGGUGACGGGUAGCCGGCCUGAGAGGGUGGACGGUCACACUGGGACUGAGACACGGCCCAGACUCCUACGGGAGGCAGCAGUGGGGAAUAUUGCACAAUGGGCGCAAGCCUGAUGCAGCGACGCCGCGUGAGGGAUGGAGGCCUUCGGGUUGUGAACCCCUUUCGCCAGUGAAGCAGGCCUGCCUCGUUUGUGGGUGGGUUGACAGUAGCUGGAUAAGAAGCGCCGGCUAACUACGUG
rnacentral:rRNA from 1 species